UCUCUCUCUCUCUCUCAUCUUGAGACAUUAUCGCCUCUAUUUUUGUUAGAUCUGUUCUUUUUCAUUUCUCAUCUUCGAAAUCUCUCUCCAGAUCGAUAGAGAUCGUUUGACGAUCUACGAUUUGAUUAUGGAUUCGAGCAUUUUUUUUGAGAAAUUCGCCUCCUUUCGUAGAUUCAGAGAUAUGUGGUUCAAGACUCCUCUUUUACUCGUCCAUGUCUUUUUAGAUCGAUCGAAGUUGGUGCGGAUUUGACAGAUCUAUACAGAACUAAAUUCAGAUUGUUCGAAGUCAUUUGAUUUUGGACGCGCAUGAAGAAGGCAGGCGGUGGUGAAGCCAACGGAGGCUUAGAGAAGGGUGGUGAAGCUGCGUUCCUUUGUAAGGGUUUGUUAGAUCCCUUUUUGUUGUUUAUGCAAUGUAAGCAUAAGGACAUGUUCAUGGCA